GACGAGAAAUAACAAUACAGGGCAUUUUAUGCUCUGUAAUUGGAAUGAUGGGAAUCCAAACCCCUUUCAGAGUAACAAUUGGAGGGCAAGUCUGGUGCCAGCAGCCGCGGUAAUUCCAGCUCCAAUAGCGUAUAUUAGAGUUGUUGCAGUUAAAAAGCUCGUAGUUGGAUUUCUGUCGUGGUCUUCCGGUGCCGCCCGUAUGGGUGCGCACUUGGUUUGCCCUCGGCAUUCUUCCGGUUUCCUUCCCCGCUUCAUUGCGUGGCUGGUUUUUCCGGAACUUUUACUUUGAGAAAAAUAGAGUGUUUCAAGCAGGCUUUUGCCUUGAAUACUUCAGCAUGGAAUAAUAAAAUAGGACUUUGGUUCUAUUUUGUUGGUUUCUAGGACUAAAGUAAUGAUUAAUAGGGACAGUUGGGGGCAUUCGUAUUUAACUGUCAGAGGUGAAAUUCUUAGAUUUGUUAAAGACGAACUACUGCGAAAGCAUUUGCCAAGGAUGUUUUCAUUAAUCAAGAACGACAGUAGGGGGUU
rnacentral:rRNA from 1 species